UGUACCUCUCUUAGACCUUGUUUUAAGGGCUGACUGUCAUGCAGGAAGGAUCUCUUUGGUGAGGUUCACCUCUUUAGUGAAGGUUUCCCCUACAAACCUGGAAUCUUCUGAUAUAGGUUCCUUUCUUUUUUCUGACAAGGUAGCAGCGUGGUGAUGGGUUGGUACAUGCCUGUGUGAUGAGACUCCUGGAGUACCACCAACUUGAAGGUUGUUCCUAAUGAGUGUCAUGCACAAGCUGCUGGAUAGCUUCUGGGUUCUUGUCUUUUGUGAGUCUGCCUUUGAAACAAAGAGCGGGUGGCCUGAAUAUGAAUUCUGUCUUACCAGCAAAUCCAGCAUUUGGGAUCGUUUGCAUAAGCAUUUCCAGCCUUGGCUCACUUCUAUUCUGAAUAAGCAGUCAAGCAGUUUGGGUACUUUUCAGUCCCUUAUGGGCUGGCAGCACAGAGAGAAGGAUCUGAUCUGUUUAACUUCUGUUAGCCUGUAUGGAUGCAUCUCCCUAAAAGCAGAAAUGUGAAGCUAUCUUCAUUCCGAUCAGAACAAUUCCAGAGUACUGCUUUGGUGGGAAAAAAAAUGCUCAGUGCUUCGAGCACCCAAGCCUUCCACUGCCUAACCUGGGAGCAGGUGCAUGCUGCCUCAUAUAAGUGGAGUGCUGUGAACAUUACUUUGAGCUUUAGAGGGUCUCCGACUGAUGCAGCUGAACACUUCAUGCCUCCCCAGACCCUCCGCUAUGCAACGUGAACUGGUGCUAAAGCUCUGCUGCACUGCAGACACUUCCUAUAAGAGUCCCCAAAUGUAUAGUUAGUGCUCAGAAUCACACCAGCUAGUGCACCACCUAACUUUCAUCA